CGGCCAGCCCCCGCCGCCGGCCCGCGAGCCCGCGCCGCCCGGGAGCAUGAGGCGGGAGCCGGCCGCCGCCUCCUCGCGCUCCGCCUCGCCGUCCUCGCCGUCCUCCGGCUCCCGCGCCCCGGGCCGGGGCCGGGCUGUGGCUCCUGCGUGCCCCGCGCACCCCCCGCCCGCCUCCGGAUGCGCUGCUCGGUUAGCCUGGGGAGGAAGAUAAAGACACUGGCAACCAAGAUGGUCCUCACGAGCGGCGGCGACGAGGACAGGGGGGGCCACGAGAAAGAGAGCAAAGAGGAGAGCGUCUUGGCGAUGCUGGGGAUCAUCGGGACCAUCCUCAACCUGGUCGUGAUUAUCUUCGUGUACAUAUACACCACGCUGUGAGCGUGCCGGGAUGGCCCGGAGACGGGGCCCCGGCGUGCGGACACACCGGUGAGCGGACGCCGAGCACAUAAGCAGGCCUGACCUACACGCCUCGCACUGGACCACACCUGCCACUCGACCAGAUGCACCUUCGAACUUGGUAGAAGGUCACCAAACUGAGCCCGUCCUGCUGCCAGGAGCGGCCACUAAAGCACAAUGAACCCCAAAUCACUCCGGCCCACAGCAAGGAACUCCGGGUCUGCGGCAGGGCGCCCGGAGGGACAGGAGACCGGCCUCUGGCACCGUCGGUGAGCGGAUGGGCGCCAAAACCCGACGCCCAGAUGGCUGACCGAUCCCCUGUCCUCAGAGCGAGGAGCAGGGCCGUGGGCCGCAGUGCACGGUGGGUCUCCCGGGACCCGAGUUCUGUCUUCGCUCCACGGCUGCCGAGUAGGAAGAGCCCCAGGGCCGUGGGCAGGCAGCCGCCGUCAGUGUCCCCGGGCUGCGGGGAGACACCGGGCUCUGCUCCUUUCCGUCGGCUUGCCAUGCGCAUCUGUUCAUAUCGAGGUUUAUAAAUAUCUAUUUUUAAUAAAUGUGCCGUUUUUAGCAUGAACCA